rnacentral:rRNA from 1 species
GGAAUCUUGGGCAAUGGGCGCAAGCCUGACCCAGCGAUGCCGCGUGAGUGAAGAAGGCCUUAGGGUUGUAAAGCUCUUUCAGCGGGGAAGAUAAUGACGGUACCCGCAGAAGAAGCCCCGGCUAACUCCGUGCCAGCAGCCGCGGUAAGACGGAGGGGGCUAGCGUUGUUCGGAAUUACUGGGCGUAAAGCGCGCGUAGGCGGUCGGCCAAGUUGGGCGUGAAAGCCCGGGGCUCAACCCCGGAAUUGCGCUCAAAACUGGUCAACUAGAGACCGGGAGAGGAGAGUGGAAUUCCCAGUGUAGAGGUGAAAUUCGUAGAUAUUGGGAAGAACACCAGUGGCGAAGGCGACUCUCUGGCCCGGUUCUGACGCUGAGGUGCGAAAGCGUGGGGAGCA